rnacentral:rRNA from 1 species
AUUGAACGCUGGCGGCAUGCUUUACACAUGCAAGUCGAACGGCAGCGCGGGCUUCGGCCUGGCGGCGAGUGGCGAACGGGUGAGUAAUGCAUCGGAACGUGCCCAGUAGUGGGGGAUAGCCCGGCGAAAGCCGGAUUAAUACCGCAUACGACCUGAGGGUGAAAGCGGGGGACCGAAAGGCCUCGCGCUAUUGGAGCGGCCGAUGUCGGAUUAGCUAGUUGGUGGGGUAAAGGCUUACCAAGGCGACGAUCCGUAGCUAGUCUGAGAGGACGACCAGCCACACUGGGACUGAGACACGGCCCAGACUCCUACGGGAGGCAGCAGUGGGGAAUUUUGGACAAUGGGGGCAACCCUGAUCCAGCCAUGCCGCGUGCGGGAAGAAGGCCUUCGGGUUGUAAACCGCUUUUGUUCGGGAAGAAAUCCUCUGGGCUAAUACCCCGGGGGGAUGACGGUACCGGAAGAAUAAGCACCGGCUAACUACGU